CGCGGACGGUGAGUAAUGCCUAGGAAUCUGCCUGGUAGUGGGGAUAACGUUCGGAAACGGACGCUAAUACCGCAUACGUCCUACGGGAGAAAGCAGGGGACCUUCGGGCCUUGCGCUAUCAGAUGAGCCUAGGUCGGAUUAGCUAGUUGGUGGGGUAAUGGCUCACCAAGGCGACGAUCCGUAACUGGUCUGAGAGGAUGAUCAGUCACACUGGAACUGAGACACGGUCCAGACUCCUACGGGAGGCAGCAGUGGGGAAUAUUGGACAAUGGGCGAAAGCCUGAUCCAGCCAUGCCGCGUGUGUGAAGAAGGUCUUCGGAUUGUAAAGCACUUUAAGUUGGGAGGAAGGGUUGUAGAUUAAUACUCUGCAAUUUUGACGUUACCGACAGAAUAAGCACCGGCUAACUCUGUGCCAGCAGCCGCGGUAAUACAGAGGGUGCAAGCGUUAAUCGGAAUUACUGGGCGUAAAGCGCGCGUAGGUGGUUAGUUAAGUUGGAUGUGAAAUCUCCGGGCUCAACCUGGGAACUGCAUUCAAAACUGACUGACUAGAGUAUGGUAGAGGGUGGUGGAAUUUCCUGUGUAGCGGUGAAAUGCGUAGAUAUAGGAAGGAACACCAGUGGCGAAGGCGACCACCUGGACUGAUACUGACACUGAGGUGCGAAAGCGUGGGGAGCAAAC
rnacentral:rRNA from 1 species